rnacentral:lncRNA from 1 species
CUCUUGUGUUUUCCAAUCCUUUGUCGAAUGCUCAUAAUAAUAAAAAUGAUAAAUUACAAUGGGGGACCAAACCUUACCCAAAAAUAAUGGAAAAAGGGGGAAAAACAACAAAAAAAAUGAAAACGCGAAAAGAAAGCUAAUUCGCUAACUUGUUCUCACAACAAUUCCAAAUAACCAUAUUGAUUCGGCAACGCAUAAAACAAUAGAACAAGAAAAUAGAACAAGAAAAAACAUGAGAAAAAAAAAAGGCACCAACAAAAAAACUAAACACCUUAACCUCCCAACAUAAGAAGAUCCGAAACCACAUGCUUUACUGACCUAUCUGUUGACGAGCGAGAGUGAUAUGCUUCCUUAGUCUGCUGAGGAUGAUGUUGAUCUUUUGACCAUAGUGGGAAAGUUCUUGCUUAUGCUCCCUUAAUAAUUCAUCAAAUUAAUUAACAAACAUAUAUGAAAAAAAAAAAUUAUUAGGGUGCUGCAAAUGAUAGGUGAUGAUUAUGGGAUGCCAACAUAGUUGAGAUGUCAUAGUUAUCAUGUGAUGCAUGUGCACGCUAAUGUUUUAUAAAAAAAAUAUAUAUAUAU